UCAAAACAGCGGCCUUCGGGCCCUCGCUGCACCCUUGUCUUUUGCGCACCGUAUUGUUUCCUCGGCGGGCUUGCCUGCCGGUUGGACAUCAUAAAACCUCUUUGUAGUUGCAAUCAGCGUCAGAAAAAACAAUAAUUAUUA
rnacentral:misc_RNA from 1 species